UAAAAGUCGUACCAAGGUUUCCGUAGGUGAACCUGCGGAAGGAUCAUUG
rnacentral:rRNA from 1 species